GGCAGCAUGGUCUUAGCUUGCUAAGGCUGAUGGCGACCGGCGCACGGGUGAGUAACACGUAUCCAACCUGCCGUCUACUCUUGGCCAGCCUUCUGAAAGGAAGAUUAAUCCAGGAUGGGAUCGUGAGUUCACAUGUCCGCAUGAUUAAAGGUAUUUUCCGGUAGACGAUGGGGAUGCGUUCCAUUAGAUAGUAGGCGGGGUAACGGCCCACCUAGUCAACGAUGGAUAGGGGUUCUGAGAGGAAGGUCCCCCACAUUGGAACUGAGACACGGUCCAAACUCCUACGGGAGGCAGCAGUGAGGAAUAUUGGUCAAUGGGCGAUGGCCUGAACCAGCCAAGUAGCGUGAAGGAUGACUGCCCUAUGGGUUGUAAACUUCUUUUAUAAAGGAAUAAAGUCGGGUAUGCAUACCCGUUUGCAUGUACUUUAUGAAUAGGGAUCGGCUAACUCCGUGCCAGCAGCCGCGGUAAUACGGAGGAUCCGAGCGUUAUCCGGAUUUAUUGGGUUUAAAGGGAGCGUAGAUGGAUGUUUAAGUCAGUUGUGAAAGUUUGCGGCUCAACCGUAAAAUUGCAGUUGAUACUGGAUGUCUUGAGUGCAGUUGAGGCAGGCGGAAUUCGUGGUGUAGCGGUGAAAUGCUUAGAUAUCACGAAGAACUCCGAUUGCGAAGGCAGCCUGCU
rnacentral:rRNA from 1 species